UGGAAAGAGAUGUGCACAGGCCACAUGG
rnacentral:piRNA from 1 species